rnacentral:lncRNA from 1 species
GGGGUGGUUGUUGUAUUAAACAGAUUUUUCGGAGAUGGUUUUAGCAGGAAUUUUGAGCAUAGGAGACUAAAUAAUUCGAGUCACAAGCAGUUGUGAGCGAGCGUAGGCAAUAGCGCUUAGUUGUAUCUUGUUACGGUGCCUCUGUUUAUUUGCCAACUUGUCAGAUGAGAAUUGGGAUUAUCGGACUCUAUUUAUCUGUAUUAUUCGAUCAAGUUUUUGAUUAAUAAUAAAACGCUUUCUGGGAAGAUUUGAAGUGGUUUUUUCUGUCGAUUAUUAAUUGGAAAUGUGUUCGAUAAUUUUGUUCUCUAUGUUAAUUCUUGCUAUAAGCCUAUAAGUAGGAGCAAUAGUACUAAUUACUAAUUUUUUUUUUUAUUCUGACAACGAUUGAUGAAUCGUCUAUGAGAUGCUACACAUGGUAUAACAC